rnacentral:piRNA from 1 species
UCUGCUUCCCAGUGGCAUGAACAGGCCCAGC